rnacentral:rRNA from 1 species
CAUAUCAAUAAGCGGAGGAAAAGAAACCAACAGGGAUUGCCCUAGUAACGGCGAGUGAAGCGGCAUGAGCUCAAAUUUGAAAUCUGGCCCCCUAAUCGGGGCCCGAGUUGUAAUUUGUAGAGGGCGCUUUGGUGUUGGCUGCGGCCCAAGUUCCUUGGAACAGGACAUCGCGGAGGGUGAGAAUCCCGUACGUGGCCGCGUGCCUUCGCCGUGUAAAGCCCCUUCGACGAGUCGAGUUGUUUGGGAAUGCAGCUCUAAUUGGGAGGUAAAUUUCUUCUAAAGCUAAAUACUGGCCAGAGACCGAUAGCGCACAAGUAGAGUGAUCGAAAGAUGAAAAGCACUUUGGAAAGAGAGUCAAAAAGCACGUGAAAUUGUUGAAAGGGAAGCGCUUGCAGCCAGACAUGCCCGUGGCUGCUCAUCCAGACCCCCCAAGGUCUGGUGCACUCUCCCACGGGCAGGCCAGCAUCGGUUUGAGCGGUUGGAUAAAGGCUCUGGGAAUGUAGCUCCCCUUUGGGGAGUGUUAUAGCCCGUUGCGGAAUGCAGCCAGCUCGGACCGAGGCCCGCGCGCAUGCUAGGAUGCUGGCGUAAUGGCUGUAAGCGGCCCGUCUUGAAACACGGACCAAGGAGUCUAACAUCUAUGCGAGUGUUUGGGUGUCAAGCCCGGGCGCGCAAUGAAAGUGAAUGGAGGUGGAAACCCCUUUGAGGGCGCACCAUCGACCGAUCCUGAUGUCUUCGGAUGGAUUUGAGUAGGAGCAUAGCUGUUGGGACCCGAAAGAUGGUGAACUAUGCUUGAAUAGGGUGAAGCCAGAGGAAACUCUGGUGGAGGCUCGCAGCGGUUCUGACGUGCAAAUCGAUCGUCAAAUUUGGGCAUAGGGGCGAAAGACUAAUCGAACUAUCUAG